GAGGUGUGCGUAGGCUUCACGUGGCCCCAGCUCACCGCUCCCGGACUGUCACCUGAGGGUGGCGGUUGCUGCGGUGGCGGCUGCCGGGCCCCGCCCGCACCCCGGCCGCCGGGAUGCUCGUUCCAGCAGCGGUCUCCGAAGCGGCACCGGCCUUGAAGGAAAAACUGGCAAAUGGUCAUGGUAGCGCCGUCCCAGCUCGACCCUAACCGCCGUCAGCCCGGAAGCCCCAGGCUCCAGCCACGGUGGUGCGGCCGUAUGACGUCACCAACCCGCGCCACCGCGGGCCGGCCGGCCCCGUGACGCCAUCACCCUGCGCCCGGAGAAUCUCCAUAGACACAAAUCUCUGGACUUCGAGGUGUUAGAUUUAGGAUCCCCAUAGAUACACACCUCUGGGCAUGUCUACGAAGAUACUUUCAGAAAGGUUGAAGUGGAAAGAUGUACCUAAUGUGGACUGCGCUCUCAAAGGACUGGGCAAACACUGAAUAAAAAGGCAAAUUCAAGUUGAGCACCCACUGCUGUUGUCAGACUGCAAAUCCAAUGUGAGCAGCUGUCUCAUGUUCCUGUUGAAAUCCCUUCUAAGUUGUGAUAGACUGUACCCGUAAUCUGUGAACCAGAAUCAACACAUACUCCAGAGUUGCUUUUGCCAGGUUUUGUCAUAGUAAUAGGAAAUGUACACACACAUUCUAGAUAGCUCUGUAUGUAGGUGUAACCCAACCUGGUCUCAAAGUUAGUCAUCCUCCCGCCCCAGAACUGCCACUAUUUUGAAUCUUCAUACCCCCCACUACAAAUUGAGUUAUAUUAAAAAGGAGUAAAACUAGUAAGAUCAAAGUGAAAUCUUAAAAAUCUCUGGAGGAAACUUAAAGGAUUCAAAAGGAUCAAUCAGGGUUUAAUGCUGCAACCCAGGAAAUGCCCUUUCAUAUUAUCAGUUUACUGAAGUUUAGCGAGAACUGGUUUGGUGCCACAUUGAAUGGAAUAAAUUGGAUUUUACCUAAUGCAAACAAGUCAAAAAAGAAUAUACACUUAGUUGAGUAACUUUAUUAAAUGGCACAUUUUUAUAUU